CUCUAAGUCCUUGAUAUGGCUAAGCUUUCCUUCUCAGCUAAGCCGGCCAUCCUAAUUAUCUGUCAUGUCACCCGGCUCUCCACACGGACAGAUAGUUUGUUUCCUCCUCAGAGUUUUUCAAAUCCAUUUAUAGGCAUGGAAAGCCCUUCUCACCUCAUCUUUCAGAGAUUCUAGGAAUAGGAACAGAGGUGGGGACCACUGGCCAAUUUCUCUCAGGACUUUGAAAUAUGCAGUAUGUUUACAGGAAGGCAACUCCUCUAACUCAGUCCCAACAAAGAAGAUGCUGGUUUUAGGUUUCUAGUCUCCUGGGGAACGGAGAGGGUUAAGACGGUGCUAAGGGGACACUUACUCACUCAUGGGGAAUAAUACAAUGUAACAUAAGACCCACUUAAACGUUGUAUAGAAGACAUGGACAGCUGGGCCCCAAGGGAGCCAACAUCGAACAUUUUGGCGAAGCAGACUCUGUCAUGUGCAAAUGGCUUGAAUCACGAUGCAUGCUGGAGAAGUUGUUGUGGUGGAAUCGUAGCCAAAGGAAUGACAGAGAAAUGUCACCAGGGAGGCCUGCCCACUGUGAAGCUGAACGAGACUUUGCUCAGGGCUUUUGCACCACUGGCCGAGGAGAUUAAUAUCAUUCACAGAAUCUUGCACCAGCGAGUUAACGUUGAUUUUAAUGAAGCAUGUCAUGGUUUUUGCAUGCCCCGGAAGGUGAGUGGAGUACAGGAUUUCACCACUCAAGGGGCCCUACAGGUGCCUUCCCUGAUGCACCCGAGCCUGGGUCCCAGCCCGGCCCCUGGCUUUCCCCACGCGAGUGUCUGCAGAUCUCUGCCUCAUGUCCCGAGCCC
rnacentral:lncRNA from 1 species